rnacentral:misc_RNA from 1 species
GAUGAAGAACGUAGCGAAAUGCGAUAAGUAAUGUGAAUUGCAGAAUUCAGUGAAUCAUCGAAUCUUUGAACGCGCAUUGCGCCCGCCAGCACUCUGGCGGGCAUGCCUGUUCGAGCGUCAUUUCAACCAUCAAGCCCCCAGGGGCUUGUGCUGGGGCCCUGCGGCUGCCCGCAGGCCCUGAAAACCAGUGGCGGGCUCGCUAGUCACACCGAGCGCAGUAGCACAUCUCGCUCAGGGCGUGCGGCGGGCUCCUGCCGUGAAACCCCCCACUGUAACCCCAAAGGUUGACCUCGGAUCAGGUAGGAAUACCCGCUGAACUUAAGCAUAUCAAUAAGCGGAGGA